AAGUCGAGCGGUAGAGAGGUGCUUGCAUCUCUUGAGAGCGGCGGACGGGUGAGUAAUGCCUAGGAAUCUGCCUGGUGGUGGGGGAUAACGUUCGGAAACGGACGCUAAUACCGCAUACGUCCUACGGGAGAAAGCGGGGGAUCUUCGGACCUCGCGCCAUUAGAUGAGCCUAGGUCGGAUUAGCUAGUUGGUGAGGUAAUGGCUCACCAAGGCGACGAUCCGUAACUGGUCUGAGAGGAUGAUCAGUCACACUGGAACUGAGACACGGUCCAGACUCCUACGGGAGGCAGCAGUGGGGAAUAUUGGACAAUGGGGCGAAAGCCUGAUCCAGCCAUGCCGCGUGUGUGAAGAAGGUCUUCGGAUUGUAAAGCACUUUAAGUUGGGAGGAAGGGUAGUAACCUAAUACGUUACUACUUUGACGUUACCGACAGAAUAAGCACCGGCUAACUUCGUG
rnacentral:rRNA from 1 species